GGUAAUGGAUGGACCAGAGAAUAGUGUCUGCACAUGGCAUAAAUGUGCUUACACUAUUCUUUGGGACUGGAGGAGCGUUGGUGGCUCUCUUAGAAGAUUGAGUCAUGUGCAGAGAUGGCUUGGAUGGCGAACAUUCUGAUAUGUUGUACAAUUAUUUUAGUUUGUAUGAUUAGUUUGUAAAUAUAUUGUAGGUGUAAGAAAUAUAAUUUGGUCAUUACUACAAUUUUUCGAAAAGUUUGCAUGUUAAAAAAGUGACAUGAAAACUACACCGGUCAACUUAAUGCUACAAUUAUGGAACAAGACAACAAAGAUACACUAAUAAAG
rnacentral:lncRNA from 1 species